AACGAACGCUGGCGGCAUGCCUAACACAUGCAAGUCGAACGAUACCUUCGGGUCUAGUGGCGCACGGUUGCGUAACGCGUGGGAACCUGCCCUUAGGUUCGGAAUAACUCCCCGAAAGUGGUGCUAAUACCGGCUAAUGUCUUCGGACCAAAGAUUUAUCGCCUUUGGAUGGGCCCGCGUUGGCUUAGCUAGUUGGUAGGGUAACAGCCUACCAAGGCGACGAUCCAUAGCUGGUCUGAGAGGAUGAUCAGCCACACUGGGACUGAGACACGGCCCAGACUGAUACGGAAGGGAGGAAUGGGGAAUAGUGGAAAGUAGGGGGAAGGAUGAAGGAGCAAGGGCGGGAAAGUGAUGAAGGACGUAGGGUAGUAAAGCUCGUUUACACGGGAGGAUAAUGACAGUACCGUAAGAAUAAGCUCCGGCUAACUACGUG
rnacentral:rRNA from 1 species